CUGAGCUUUCACUUAAGUUCCGAUAAAAUUGGAACGAUACAUAGAAGAUUAGCAUGGUCCCUACGCAAGGAUGACACGCACAAAUCGAGAAAUGGUCCAAAUUUUU